ACCACGGCCGGGUCCCCGCCUCCCGCCUGCCGGAGGGAGCCAGCGGGAUCCCCCACGUCACCUCGAAGGUCGAGCCCCUGGACGGCGGAGGGACCUUCGAAAAGCUCGGAAUUGACCGAGGGGAGCCAGAGAAGAGGUUGGCAACCUUUUCUCCCACCACGGGCGGUUUAAGAUGGAGGAAAACGCUCUUUUAUUGAAAUAAAAGAAGUCAAAAUUGACCUGCGGUUGCUUCUUUAGGAGGGUCGACGUGUCUGCGUCCAGCGCGCCCGGGCUGAGCUGCACACGCGCGCCUGCCACCGCCACCCUCUGCCACUUUGCCCUGUUUCGUCUUUACGGCGCUUCCCCCUCUGAAAUACUCUUUGCGGGGAGUUUUGUGGCUCUAUAACUCGCUUCUUUCCUGGCUCCCCUGAUGCCUGGAGAGCGGGGACCUACUUGGUCCCCAACGUCCAGCCCGCAGCAGGGCUCCGUCACUGUCUCCAGAGACUGAAAGAAUGACUUUCUAGCCGUAACGAAGUCCCCCCCGGCCCCGUCCCCCUGCACAUGCCGUGGACCUCGCCCAGGGCCCAGGACGCCCCGAGAUGGCCUUGGGCUGCAGGAAACCAGUUGUGGAUUUCCCGGGGGCAGGAUUGGGGGGGAGUCCCUGGAACUGGGCCUAGCCUGUCCGGGAGCGGUGGGGUAGAAGCGAAAGGCUUAAGUGUGGGUGCGGAGACUUGCAGCUGCACAGACAAGGCAGACCCGGACUGGGAAGCUGCCCGGAGCGGCUGCUGCGACUCUCCGCUCCGACCUAGCCGGGACUGCCCUCCCUGACCCGGGAGAAGACGGCGAGAAGGAGGACCCGCAGAGCCCCGCCCGGCUGCUCCGGCCCCGGGGGCACUGGCACCAUCGGGCUGUGGUCUUUUCCCGAUGCCCGAGCCGUGGACGCGGCCACCUAAGAGCGGUCUGGCGAAGGCAGCGCAGCCGGUGUCCCAGGGACCGGUCCCCAACGCCACUCGGUGCAUUUCCCCAGGCGUUGGCGGGAGCACUGAUUCCUAGCAAUGAGGUCUCCCUUCGCCUUCCCAGGCCGCCCCUCCUCUGACUCCCUCCAGAGCAGGGCCGAGUUUUCCUGGGGAGCCUGGGUUCCGGCGGCCGGGAAGCCGCGGGGAGGUGGAGGAGCCUCUCCAGCCCGGCCGCAACUCAUCGUGAGCCAACUGCGCCACCUGCCGGCCAGAUGCGGGAGUGUGCGGUCCCGGAGGAAGGGCGAGCGGACAAAGACCGCAACCCGCAACCCGCAACCCCGCAGAGAGGUGGUGCGUGCGGUUGGGCGAGCUUUUCAGCCACCGCCAAGUCUCGUGCACUAGGGCUACUCCUACCGUGGGGCUGCGGGCAGCGCUCAAGAGGUCCUGGAGUCUGUCGUGACUCUUGCCUGCUGGAUUUCAAAAGAUGGAAUCGGAAAGCGUUUCAAGGAGAAACUCCUAACAAACCUUCCGGGGGUUGCCUGAGUGGCUGCUCUCGGAAAAGCGGAUCCUAAAUAAAACGGGAGGGGUGUAGGGCGACGUCGAGGAGAGGACAGGUCUCGAGUCACUGCUACAGUUUCAGGUCAUUGGGCUCCGCAGCAGAUCGUGGUUUCCCCCUUGGCUCGAGAGCUGCGCUGGUUUCUCAUGCAAACUCAGAGCCGAGCUAAUGACAUGAGCAACUUUUACUUUUACACAAGAUGAGCUCGCGUGCCGAGGCCCUGGGCGGCGGCUCUGUGAGUUGGUGGCCCGGAGGAACAGCUUGUGCGAGACUCUGGGCAUUUCGGUUUCUAGAUACAAGAUUUGCUUAAAUGUCACAGUCCAAAGAAGUGGAUUGCAGUUAUUGUAGCUACUGAUUGCACACAAGUAAAAAGGGAAAAAAUAUGUACUCGGGGGAUAUAUGUAUGUGUGUGUGCGUGCAUAAAUUAUUUAAAAUAACUGCACUAAAUCCCUUUAAGAAAUGC
rnacentral:antisense_RNA from 1 species